rfam:Triticum aestivum genome assembly, contig: Triticum_aestivum_CS42_TGACv1_scaffold_644195_T_4DL-0.324514_5DS-0.206550
AAUGUACUCCCUCCGUCCGGAAAUACUCGCCGGAGGAAUGGAUGUAUCUAGAUGUAUUUUAGUUUUAGAUACAUUCAACUUUAUGCAUUUCUCCGACAAGUAUUUCCGAACGGAGGAAGUAAAAU